rnacentral:rRNA from 1 species
GACGAACGCUGGCGGCGUGCUUAACACAUGCAAGUCGAGCGAUGAAGUUCCUUCGGGAAUGGAUUAGCGGCGGACGGGUGAGUAACACGUGGGUAACCUGCCUCAUAGAGGGGAAUAGCCUUCCGAAAGGAAGAUUAAUACCGCAUAAGAUUGUAGUACCGCAUGGUAUAGCAAUUAAAGGAGUAAUUCGCUAUGAGAUGGACCCGCGUCGCAUUAGCUAGUUGGUGGGGUAACGACUCACCAAGGCGACGAUGCGUAGCCGACCUGAGAGGGUGAUCGGCCACAUUGGGACUGAGACACGGCCCAGACUCCUACGGGAGGCAGCAGUGGGGAAUAUUGCACAAUGGGGGAAACCCUGAUGCAGCAACGCCGCGUGAGUGAUGACGGUCUUCGGAUUGUAAAGCUCUGUCUUCAGGGACGAUAAUGACGGUACCUGAGGAGGAAGCCACGGCUAACUACGUGCCAGCCGCCGCGGUAA